GACGAACGCUGGCGGCGUGCCUAAUACAUGCAAGUAGAACGCUGAAGGAGGAGCUUACUUCUCUGGAUGAGUUGCGAACGGGUGAGUAACGCGUAGGUAACCUGCCUGGUAGCGGGGAUAACUAUUGGAAACGAUAGCUAAUACCGCAUAAGAGUAGAUGUUGCAUGACAUUUACUUAAAAGGUGCAAUUGCACCACUACCAGAUGGACCUGCGUUGUAUUAGCUAGUUGGUGGGGUAACGGCUUACCAAGGCGACGAUACAUAGCCGACCUGAGAGGGUGAUCGGCCACACUGGGACUGAGACACGGCCCAGACUCCUACGGGAGGCAGCAGUAGGGAAUCUUCGGCAAUGGACGGAAGUCUGACCGAGCAACGCCGCGUGAGUGAAGAAGGUUUUCGGAUCGUAAAGCUCUGUUGUAAGAGAAGAACGAGUGUGAGAGUGGAAAGUUCACACUGUGGCGGUAUCUUACCAGAAAGGGACGGCUAACUACGUGCCAGCCGCCGCGGUAA
rnacentral:rRNA from 1 species